CAUGCAAGUCGAACGAGAAAGUUCCUUCGGGAGCGAUUAAAGUGGCGCACGGGUGAGUAACGCGUAGACAAUCUGCCCUUCAGUCUGGGACAACUUUUCGAAAGGAGAGCUAAUACCGGAUAACAAUGUUUAACAUAAGUUAAGUGUUUGAAAGCUUUAUGUGCUGAAGGAGGGGUCUGCGUCCCAUUAGCUAGUUGGUAAGGUAAAGGCUUACCAAGGCAACGAUGGGUAGCGGGUUUGAGAGGACGAUCCGCCACACUGGAACUGAGACACGGUCCAGACUCCUACGGGAGGCAGCAGUGGGGAAUAUUGCACAAUGGAGGAAACUCUGAUGCAGCAAUGUCGCGUGAGUGAAGAAGGCCCUUGGGUCGUAAAGCUCUUUUAUGGGGGAAGAUGAUGACGGUACCCCAAGAAUAAGCACCGGCUAACUAUGUGCCAGCAGCCGCGGUAAUACAUAGGGUGCGAGCGUUGUUCGGAAUUACUGGGCGUAAAGGGCGCGCAGGCGGAAUAGUAAGUCGGAGGUGAAAGCCCGGGGCUCAACCCCGGAGGGUCUUUCGAAACUGCUAAUCUAGAGAGGGUCAGGGGCCGGCAGAAUUCCUGGUGUAGAGGUGAAAUUCGUAGAUAUCAGGAGGAAUACCGGUGGCGAAGGCGGCCGGCUGGGGCCACUCUGACGCUGAGGCGCGAAAGCGUGGGGAGCAAACAGGAUUAGAUACCCUGGUAGUCCACGCCGUAAACGAUGAGCACUGGACGUCCGGAGGGUUCGACCCUUCUGGGUGUCUCAGCUAACGCAUUAAGUGCUCCGCCUGGGGAGUACGGUCGCAAGACUAAAACUCAAAGGAAUUGACGGGGGCCCGCACAAGCGGUGGAACAUGUGGUUUAAUUCGAUGCAACGCGAAGAACCUUACCUGGUCUUGACAUCCUCGGACCGCUUCAGAGAUGAAGUUUCCUCUUCGGAGGCCGAGUGACAGGUGCUGCAUGGCUGUCGUCAGCUCGUGUCGUGAG
rnacentral:rRNA from 1 species